rnacentral:lncRNA from 1 species
GUGGCACCGGGCGCCACCGUGCACCUGCAGCUCAGCGGACUCGCUUGCCUGUCAACCCCUGUGGCGCUGGUGAGGCGUAGGGGGACCGGAGCGCUCACUUCUGUGCGCCCCCUCUUGGGCAAGCAGACCCUUCAGAGGGGAUCCCCUCUGUGCCAAGACCCUGCCUCGCGCGGCGUGUCAGUCAUCCGUCACCAAGCUACAAGUACCACACAACACAGCUGCUUAAAAUGGCGGGCUCUUCCCUCCCGAGGCUCCCGAGUUCAGGCGUCAGCGGGGCAGGGCGGGGGCGCUGGGGCCCAGGGUCGGGCUCACGUGUGCUCACGUGGCUGCUGGGAGGCCUGCCAUGCGUGGCAGGGGCGGGGAGGUGGCCUUUGUGGCACAGCUGCUCCCAGAGCGCCAAGAGACAAGCUGCUGUCUUUGAUCCUGGAGGUGGACCCCCUGGUCUCCACCAUAGAUGUGGGUCCUACAGGUCAACCCUGGGAAGCGUGGGAAGGGACCCCACGCGGUGUGAACACAGAAGCCGGGAGCCUGGCGCAGCGUGCCGGCCGCCCACCUGCCAGUCGGGAGCUCUCUGAAAGCAGCCCCGAGCUGUCACCCGCCGAGUGGCCGGCCGUGCUGCGCGGGGGCCCACGGAACACGCAGGAAGACGCCUUUGUUCUGCUAAGUAGGGAAAGGAUGUGGCAGGACACGUUGUGCAGCUGGAUGCCUUUUAUCCAGGAAACAUGUCAAAGCCGUUCCUGUGAUCGUAAUCCCGCACGCGCUUGUCCCGUCCAGCGUGGAACUGGCCGGCUGCCUGCCUCCCAUCUGUCUCCCCCCUCCGCCUCCCCGGUGGGGGAGUUCCACAGAUUCAGGAUCACGACCCCUGGAUCUGCCUUUGCGCAGCGACCCUGCCUGGCCCGUGGGCCUCAGCCCGGCCUGACACGGUCCCGGUGGUCCCUGCCCGGUGGUCCCUGCCCGAGGACGCUCUGCUGGGGCUCAGCUUCCGACGGUGGCUGGGCUCCCUGUCCGCAGCCUGGUCACAGAGUCACCGCGCGGCUGCAGCCACCGCACCAGGAUUUCCGUUUCGUCGGCUUUUGCCAAUCCCAGGACACCUGGUGUACCCAGAUCCUGGCUGCAGGUCCCCUCCCAGCUUGCAGCCCGUCUCUCAGGACUCGGCUGUAG